UUUCAUAGCUCUAUAAGUUUCAACUAAACUCCUUUUGCAACCUCAAGGAAAGUCUAAAUUAACAAUACUCAACCACCAAAUUCUUCAUGAAUAUCAUAUACGUUUCUAACAUAAUAAAUAUCAUCAAUAACUCCUUUCUGGCUUUAAGCAAAUAAUAAUUCACCUUAACUAAUAACUCAUUAUCUACCUUCCUCCAAGGAACUUAUACCACAUUCAUUACCCCUAAACUGACACACAAG
rnacentral:lncRNA from 1 species